CAGUAGCCACGGUAAUACGGAGGGAGCUAGCGUUGUUCGGAAUUACUGGGCGUAAAGCGCACGUAGGCGGCUUUGUAAGUCAGAGGUGAAAGCCUGGAGCUCAACUCCAGAACUGCCUUUGAGACUGCAUCGCUUGAAUCCAGGAGAGGUGAGUGGAAUUCCGAGUGUAGAGGUGAAAUUCGUAGAUAUUCGGAAGAACACCAGUGGCGAAGGCGGCUCACUGGACUGGUAUUGACGCUGAGGUGCGAAAGCGUGGGGAGCAAACAGGAUUAGAUACCCCCGUAGUCCCUGUCUCUUAUAC
rnacentral:rRNA from 1 species